AAUUAUGUGGCGUAUAACUUUCGUAAGUUAGUAUUUAUGAGUUUUAACCGGUUUUAAUUAAUUAGUGGGUUUAUGUGAAUUGGGCCUAGAGGGUGAUGAGAUGAGUAGAAUGACUGAAUGAGGGGUUGUUAAUUGGAAAACAAACCAUUUGUAUUAAGCAAACUCUAUCUAUUAAAAAAAACAAACAAACAAAGAAAAGACCAGAAAAGAAAAGAAGAACGUGAGAUCGAAAGAAAAACCAAGAGACGAAGAACAAAAGCUUAUGGAUUGAAGAAGAAGACUAAAGAAUCCAUCAUAGCUAAGGUAAGAGGAUAGUAACAUAAUUUUUGGAGAUGAAUUAAUGAGAGGAGAGAAAAUCAUUUUCUCUAGCCCAGACUCUCACCAUAUCAAUUGGGGGUUUGUAUGUGGGAUUUGAGAAUGUGUUUAUUAAGAACUUUUGUGUGUUGAUUCAUUAUUCUACUUGUUCUAUCAUGAUUAUUGAGUGUUUUAAUAUGAUAAAAAUACACACUUUGAUGUUUGAUGUUGUUGUAUGAUAAUUUUAAUUGGAUUUGUGAUUUUGAGCUUAAAUCCAUGAAAUAAGUGAUUAUACAUGAUGAUUAAGCUGUUUUUAAGUGAUUUUAAGUAUGCAUGAUCAUAGUAUAUAUUGGUAAUGAAUUUUGGGUCGAAAUAGGUGCUUAUAUGUGAAGAAUAAGUGAUUUUUGAACAAUCCCGUAUUCAAAACGUGUUUUUAUGCAAUUCUCCAGCUUUGCGUCGAAAAUUGGCCGACACUAUGACCGACGCUACCUGUUGACUCGUAACCGUUGACUUCUCGUCUACUUUUUUGGUCAGAACUUAUUUUGCUCAGUUUUUCGCGUAGAUUUCAAUUCCGGAGUCCAUUUUCUGAGAUUAUGCUUGUAUAAUGAUGUUGCCUAUAUUUUUGGCAUUAGUUUAAUUUAAAAUAACUUUCGUAUGCUUAAUUAAUUGAAAUUGGUGAACCCUUGAUGGUGCGAGACUUUAGUGUCUUGUAAUUGAAUAUGAUGAUGAUUAGGUUGUUGAUAGAUGAUGAUAAUCAUGAUGUUGAUAAAUGAUGAUGUAUUAUGAUUAUAUUGGUGAAUUAUUGAUGAAUAAAUCUUAUUGAAGAUUAGUGUGAUUACGUGAUGAUGUAUUAGUGAUGAUUCAUAAUGUUAUUGAUUAUGAUUAUGAUGUUGAUUUAUUGAUGAUGAUAAAUGAUGAUUUAUCAUGGGUAGAGGUAUUCUAAAGAUGAUGAUUUAGAAUAUUUGGAUUAUUUUAUCCAUAUUAUGUUGAUGUUAUAGUUGCGAUAAAAUCAUAUGUUUGGUAGAUGCACAUUUCAUGCAUUCAUAAGUUGAGUCCAUUGAUGAGUGUCCUAGAGACGAUGAUCUAGUUUACUGUUAUUAUAGAGACGAUGAUCUAGAAUGUUUUAGAGACGAUGUUCUAAAACACUUGGGUUAAGUUAUCCAAGAUUAUGAUGAAUUGGUACCACAUGCAUAUAGAUAUGUCUAGGUGACAUCAUAUCUAUGUGACAUUAAAAUGCAUUAGAAAUUAUGUGACAUUCUUAAAUGUUAAAUGUUACUCGACAUUGUGUAUUUCAUUUCUUUGUUCGAGAGUUUUUACUUCUCAAAUGUGACGAGUAAUUGAUAAAUGAAUAUGUCUAAUACAUGUCUGUAUAUAUUUACUCAAUUGGGUGAUUGUAUAUGUGGUGAUUGUAUGAGUUGAAUUUACUCAAUUGUAUUUAUUUUAUUCAGUGUCUGAUAUGCGUUAUAUUCAGUCACUUUUAAUAAUUAUGUUAUCUAACAUUUGUUUUGUGUUUGUGCUGAACCAUUGGGAGUUCAGGUUCUCAGGUUGUAUGUUUGUUGGUGUUCGAGGUGUUGGUGAAAGCUCCUCUCUGGUUGUGACACGGGGAAGGAUUCAUAGACUAUUUAUUUGUUGUUGUUUUAUUUAAAUUAAAGGUGUAUCUUUUAUAAAAAGAUUUUGUAUAAGUGAUGAUUACUAAUUAAUUUUAUUAGUAGAGUUUUUAGUGAAGAAUGUAACACCUUGAACCAAUAUUUUAUAAUUCAUUUUUACUUCGAGUCUUAAAGUCAUUUUUAUCCGUUGCGUAGUUUCGAAAAACCAUUCUUUUAUUAAGAUAAGUUAAAUAAUGGGUCAGGGUGGUUACAUCAAUAAGCACUUGCACACACACAAAAACACUCACAAGCUGCAAGAUCACACACACUCUGCAGAGGCUCAGGGCGCGCCUAUGAGCACAAAGCAGUUUCACUGGUUUUGCAGUCU
rnacentral:lncRNA from 1 species